rnacentral:misc_RNA from 1 species
AAUACUGUAUUGAAGCACUUUCUAAUGAUAUAUAACAAUCUAACCUUUGAUCAAUUUAAAAUUUUCAAUCCACAUACCUACAACUAUGUAUAGAUUUGUUGGCAAAAACUAUGUAUGUUUUGUUCUUUACAUUUUUUUUACCUUAUGCUUUAUCUACAUUGAGAACAUUUGUCCAAUCAACUCAGCCUUCCACUGUUCCAUCUACAUCUGAAACAGUUGUUUCAUCAACAUCUACCACAUUUAGAAAGUUUAAAAGCUAUUUCUUUGUUCACUUUGUAUGUAAAAUGUGUAUGUAAGGCCAAUUUCUAAUACUUUUUUACUUAGUUACACCUUUUUUCUAAUCUAUAUCUGCCACUGUUACUAAGUUUAAAAGCUAUUACUUUUUAAUCUCUGUAAUAAUUUAAUGCCUAAAUCAAACAUUUGUUUGGUUGAGUACAUCCUUUUCACAAAUAGUAAGUUUAAAAACUAAUUAUUUUUCAGCAGUGUUUUGAUUUUUCUAAAAAAGUCAUUUAUUUUGUUAAUUACAUUUUUUUUUUUUGAUUUUUAGCUGCAUCUACAUCUGCUUUGGUUAGUAUGUUAAAAACUAUUUCUUUGUUAGCAGUGCAUAGUCUAUCUCAUUAAAAUUAUACUAUAGAUUUAAUCCCAAUUUCAUUUGAUUUUUGUUGUUUACAUCAUUUUUUAAGUUUAAGUUCCUGCAGUACAAUCUUCUGCAGGUUAAU